UCCCUCUCACCUGAUCACAAACAAAAUAUGUUUCUGAACAAAUGAGAGGGCAGUCUGAAGUGACAUAUAUAACACUUCACAGGGGUUGCGCUCGUUUCCCGACUGAACGGAACAUCUUACGACACGAGCUGACGACAACCAUGCAGCACCUGGUCUAGCACCCUCGAAGGACAUCCCAUUUCUGGGCUCUGCAGCUAGAUUUCAAACCUUGGUGAGGUGCCUCGCUUACUGUCGAAUUAAACCACAUGCUCCACCACUUGUGCGGAUCCCCGUCUAUUCCUUUGAGUUUUAAGCUUGCGCUCGUACUUCCCAGGCGGCAUACUUAACGCGUUAGCUCCGGCACAGAAAGGGUCGAUUCUCCCUGCACCUAGUAUGCAUCGUUUAGGGCGUGGACUA
rnacentral:misc_RNA from 1 species